GGGUGAUGAGGAUUUUUAGUGCAAGUUGUGAUGAUGGGUGUUAUCACAGUUGUCCGAUAUUUGGACAAAACUAGCGCGCCUGAGCUC